AUGUUUGAACUGUUGCAGCAGCUGGGUUUUAGCAGUCGCUGGAGGGACUGGAUUGCCAUGCUGCUCAGAUCAUCCUCAUCCGCUUUCCUGCUGAACGGUGACCCUGGCAUCCCUCUCAUCCACCACCGUGGGCUGCAGCAAGGAGACCCGUUGUCCCCGCUGCUAUUUAUCCUUGCCAUUGACAUCCUCCACCGGCUCAUAGCAAAAGCUGUUGAUGACGACAUUCUUGCCCCGCUGCCUGGAAGAGAACUGCAACUGCGCACCAGCCUGUACGCGGACGAUGCUGUCAUCUUUGCAAACCCAGUUCAGGAAGAGCUCGACAAACUGUUUCAGAUCAUCACCAGCAUUGGGGAAACCUCAGGCCUGCACCUCAACAUCAGCAAGUGCACCAUCACGCCCAUUCGCUGUGAUCACAUUAACCUUCAGGAAGUUCUGCAUGCGUUUGGCGGACAGAUUGUUGCCUUCCCAAUACGAUACUUAGGAUUACCAAUAAGCCUCGGGCGUGCCAAAAUGGUUCACUUUCAGUUCAUCCUGGACCGCAUCCGAGCUCGUCUAGCUGGAUGGAAGCAUAAAUUGAUGAAUAUCGUAGGAAGAAGAGUGCUUGUUCGGAGCGUUCUCUCGGCGAUCCCAACUUUUGCACUCGCUGUUUUGCGGCCACCAAAGCUUCUCUUCAGAGAGAUUGAUAAAGCCCGCAGAAAGUUUCUUUGGACACAAGAUGAGGAGCUUACUGGUGGCAAAUGCAAGGUUGCCUGGAAGCAAGUUUGUACGCCGACGGAAUACGGAGGCCUAGGCAUCCAUGACCUACAAAAAUUCUCUCGCGCUUUGCGACUCAGAUGGUUGUGGCUGUCAUGGCAAACUGAAGACAGACCCUGGAAGGGCUCGGACCUACCUUGCGACAAGGAAGACAAAGCUUUGUUCGACCAUGCAACCUCUGUAACUCUUGGAAACGGCAUAACAGCUUCCUUCUGGCAAUCCCCAUGGAUCACCUCUCCAAGCCUUACCACUCUGUUUCCAGGACUGUUCAAGCGAUCACGGGGCAAAAACAGAUGCGUUGCUGAUGCGCUUGAAAAUGACAAAUGGGUGAUGGACAUGAAGAUACGACCCAACGAGAACCUGAUUCACAGCUUCAUCAUCCUAUGGAGAGCACUGCGGGCCGAAGCAAUAUCGCUGCAACCACAAGUGGAUGAUAAAAUCUCCUGGCAUCUUCACAGCGCGGUCGUUUACAGUGCAAAAUCUGCUUACAAAGAGCAAUUCAACAGCUUACUGAAGACGGACGACAAACACCUGAUAUGGAAAACAUUGGCACCUGGAAACUUAAAAGUUUUCUUCUGGCUCUUGCUCAAAAACCGUCUUUGGUGCAACGAUCGACUCCAACACAAAGGAUGGGAGAAUGGUUACUUCUGCGCUCUUUGCACAAGAAACCUUGAGACAUCAGUACAUCUCUUCUGGGAGUGCCCGAUCAGUAAGGAAAUAUGGCGAAGGAUCUCGUCCUGA
rnacentral:rRNA from 1 species